rnacentral:rRNA from 1 species
AUUGAACGCUGGCGGCAUGCCUUACACAUGCAAGUCGAACGGCAGCGGGGGAGAAGCUUGCUUUUCCUGCCGGCGAGUGGCGAACGGGUGAGUAAUACAUCGGAACGUGCCCUGUAGUGGGGGAUAACUAGUCGAAAGAUUAGCUAAUACCGCAUACGACCUGAGGGUGAAAGGGGGGGACCGCAAGGCCUCAUGCUAUAGGAGCGGCCGAUGUCUGAUUAGCUAGUUGGUGGGGUAAAGGCCUACCAAGGCGACGAUCAGUAGCUGGUCUGAGAGGACGAUCAGCCACACUGGGACUGAGACACGGCCCAGACUCCUACGGGAGGCAGCAGUGGGGAAUUUUGGACAAUGGGCGGAAGCCUGAUCCAGCAAUGCCGCGUGUGUGAAGUAGGCCUUCGGGUUGUAAAGCACUUUUGUCCGGAAAGAAAUGGCUCUGGUUAAUACCUGGGGUCGAUGACGGUACCGGAAGAAUAAGGACCGGCUAACUACGUGCCAGCCGCCGCCGUAA